GGUGAACGCUGGCGGCGUGCCUAACACAUGCAAGUCGAGCGGUGCAGUUUGAAGCUUCGGUGGAAAGCUGCAUAGCGGCGGACGGGUGAGGAAAACGUAGGAACGUGCCCCUUGGAGUUGGAUAGCCACGGGAAACUGUGGGUAAACCGACAUAGACUCGAGAGAGUAAAGGCCGAAAGGCGCCAAGGGAGCGGCCUGCGGCCCAUCAGGUAGUUGGUAGUGUAAAGGACUACCAAGCCGACGACGGGUAGCCGGUCUGAGAGGAUGGCCGGCCACAAGGGCACUGAGAGACGGGCCCUACUCCUACGGGAGGCAGCAGUGGGGGAUUUUGGACAAUGGGCGAAAGCCUGAUGCAGCAACGCCGCGUGAGCGAUGAAGGCCUUCGGUCGUAAAGCUCUGUCCUCAGGAAGAUAAUGACGGUACUUGAGGAGGAAGCCCGGCUAACUACGUGCCAGCAGCCGCGGUAACAUACUCGUA
rnacentral:rRNA from 1 species